rnacentral:lncRNA from 1 species
AUUAAUUUCAGUCAUAGAGGUACCACUAAGUGGCACAGGCUCCGAGGUACCUGCUCCAUUUGAACCGCUCUUGACCAGUGAGAACGUGGGGAGCUGCUGGGACCGGUCCAGAGUGGAGAACGCUGCAGCGUCUCUCGGGGAGAACCUCACCGGUCACCUUCCACAGACCGGUGACUUGCUGUCAGCCCACUGAGUAGAGACUUGAACGACAGCCCAGUGGUCAGCAAACCAGGGAGGAUACGUCAUCGAUGGCGCCUACCAUGUGUGGGACCGUUGCUUGGUGUGACCUUCGGACCGCGAUCGCUGCCCACAGCUGGAAACGUCUUGGUCGGGUGGAGUCGCUGCGACCGAGAGACGUCUCGGCAGCCUGGAGCUCCGCGGCUGUGACACGUUAUCUGUGGCUGCAGUAUAAAGCACAGCGUGGGGGCAAAUUAACACCAGGGUUUUUUCUUUAUGGGUCACCACUGGAACACAUUGGAACCAGCAAACUGGCUAUUCGUGUCAGCUGUGACCUGACAACACACACCGCAUGCAUGCAGACCUACGCUUCACAUCUUUGCUCUCAUCUUUGUCUGCCGAAGGAUAUCGGUCUCACCGUACACGAACUCCACACCCAUGUAA